rnacentral:rRNA from 1 species
UAAUACUCCAUAGAUUAGAGACACUGGAAUGUUCUUUAGUCGAAAGUUCUGGCGCCUUAGGAUGGAUCUGCGGUCGAUUAGGUUGUUGUUGGGGUAACGGCCCAACAAGCCUGUAAUCGAUACGGGUUGUGGGAGCAAGAGCCCGGAGAUGGAAUCUGAGACACGAUUCCAGGCCCUACGGGGCGCAGCAGGCGCGAAAACUUUACAAUGCAGGAAACUGUGAUAAGGGAACUCCGAGUGCCCGUAUACGCGGGCUGUCCAGGUGUUUAAAAAUCAUCUGAAGAAAGGGCCGGGCAAGACCGGUGCCAGCCGCCGCGGUAAUACCGGCGGCUCGAGUGGUGGCCACUAUUAUUGGGCUUAAAGCGUCCGUAGCUGGACCGAUAAGUCUCUUGGGAAAUCCGCCGGCUCAACCGGCGGGCGUCUAAGGGAUACUGUUAGUCUAGGGACCGGGAGAGGUGAGAGGUACUCCGGGGGUAGGAGUGAAAUCCUGUAAUCCCCGGGGGACCACCGAUGGCGAAGGCAUCUCACCAGAACGGCUCCGACAGUGAGGGACGAAAGCUGGGGGAGCGAACCGGAUUAAAUACCCGGGUAAUCCCAGCCGUAAACUAUGCGCGUUAGGUGU